CAGCUUGCUGUUUCGCUGACGAGUGGCGGACGGGUGAGUAAUGUCUGGGAAACUGCCUGAUGGAGGGGGAUAACUACUGGAAACGGUAGCUAAUACCGCAUAACGUCGCAAGACCAAAGAGGGGGACCUUCGGGCCUCUUGCCAUCGGAUGUGCCCAGAUGGGAUUAGCUAGUAGGUGGGGUAACGGCUCACCUAGGCGACGAUCCCUAGCUGGUCUGAGAGGAUGACCAGCCACACUGGAACUGAGACACGGUCCAGACUCCUACGGGAGGCAGCAGUGGGGAAUAUUGCACAAUGGGCGCAAGCCUGAUGCAGCCAUGCCGCGUGUAUGAAGAAGGCCUUCGGGUUGUAAAGUACUUUCAGCGGGGAGGAAGGGAGUAAAGUUAAUACCUUUUCUCAUUGACGUUACCCGCAGAAGAAGCACCGGCUAACUCCGUGCCAGCAGCCGCGGUAAUACGGAGGGUGCAAGCGUUAAUCGGAAUUACUGGGCGUAAAGCGCACGCAGGCGGUUUGUUAAGUCAGAUGUGAAAU
rnacentral:rRNA from 1 species